rnacentral:rRNA from 1 species
CAAUAGCGUAUAUUAAAGUUGUUGCAGUUAAAAAGCUCGUAGUUGGAUUUCUGGUAGGAGUGACCGUUCCGAACUUGAUUGUUCGUGUAUUGUGUUUCUCCAGCCAUCCUUGUGGAGAACUUUUCUUGCAUUAAUUUGUAGGGAUUGGGACCCGCAUCGUUUACUGUGAAAAAAUUAGAGUGUUUAAAGCAGGCAAUCGCUUGAAUACAUUAGCAUGGAAUAAUAAGAUAGGACUUUGGUACUAUUUUGUUGGUUUGCAUACCAAAUUAAUGAUCAACAGGAACAGUUUGAGGAUAUUCGUAUGAACAUGUCAGAGGUGAAAUUCUUGGAUUUUGAUCAGACGAACUACUGCGAAAGCAUUUAUCAAGGAUGUUUUCAUUAA